rnacentral:rRNA from 1 species
AUUGAACGCUGGCGGCAGGCUUAACACAUGCAAGUCGAGCGGAGUGAUGGUGCUUGCACUAUCACUUAGCGGCGGACGGGUGAGUAAUGCUUAGGAAUCUGCCUAUUAGUGGGGGACAACAUCUCGAAAGGGAUGCUAAUACCGCAUACGUCCUACGGGAGAAAGCAGGGGAUCACUUGUGACCUUGCGCUAAUAGAUGAGCCUAAGUCGGGUUAGCUAGUUGGUAGGGUAAAGGCCUACCAAGGCGACGAUCUGUAGCGGGUCUGAGAGGAUGAUCCGCCACACUGGGACUGAGACACGGCCCAGACUCCUACGGGAGGCAGCAGUGGGGAAUAUUGGACAAUGGGGGGAACCCUGAUCCAGCCAUGCCGCGUAUGUGAAGAAGGCCUUAUGGUUGUAAAGCACUUUAAGCGAGGAGGAGGCUCUUUUGGUUAAUACCCAAGAUGAGUGGACGUUACUCGCAGAAUAAGCACCGGCUAACUCUGUGCCAGCAGCCGCAGUAACAC